AUGAGUAAUCCUGCAAUAUCUAUUUACUCUUGGAAUGUACAUGGCUUGGGUGAAGAUGCCAAGUGCUCUAACAUCCUAUCUGAACUGAUCGCGAUCAAACCUCACAUUGCCCUCCUUCAAGAAUUAAAACUCGAUAUUUACUCCGACACCAAACUAAGAUCAUUCUUACCACGUCACCUCGACCAAUCCUUCUCGUUUCCCGCCAUUGGAACCACUGGCGGCACUAUUUUCGGCAUCAACACAACUUCUCUCCAACUUAUCUCAUACACUCACCUUACCUUCUCCUCCACCCUAAAUAUAAAAUCAACAACAUGUGCUCGCAACAUCUCCAUUACCAAUAUCUACGCCCCCUCUUCAUGUGUGCUCAAACAAUCCUUCCUGGAUGAGCUCCUUGCCAUCUCACAACCAGAUGAUUCUCCCUGGUUAAUUUUUGGAGAAUUCAACCUCCUUCGCUUCCCCUCCGAUAAAAAUAACAAUGCCUUUCGGCAGUCGGAGGCCAAUGCAUUCAAUCAAACCCUAGAUGACCUAGCUCUCAUCGAGCUGCCACUCCUUAAUCGCCAAUUUACUUGGUCAAACCAUAGAGAAACGCCCACCUUAGAACGGAUUGACCGCGCUUUCUUUAAUCUAGCUAGGGCCAACGUCUUUUUUAACACAUCUCUAUCAUCGCUCACACGAUUCACGUCCGACCAUGUCUCUCUCCUCAUACACAUCACCACAACGAUCCCUCGGUCCAACUUUUUCAAAUUUGAGACUGGUUGGGCCAAUUUCCGUCCAUGCAAUGAUAUUGUUAGGAAAUGUUGGGCCCCAACCCAGCCCACACCAGCCAACUUGGCCGCCACCCUUGCCUCCUUGCUAAAAAAUCACGGGCCUGCCUAG
rnacentral:rRNA from 1 species